UCGGGUAGGCUUAAUCAUGGCGUUCAACUUACGUUGUAGUAUAAGUAGUCGGGGCAAUUUGAUUUACAUUAUAUUAUUCUCUAUACUUUCGCUUGUUUCCCUAGGCCCUCCAGUGUAUGUAUCAUUUUAUACAAACGCUAAAUGUGCUGAGAAUACAAUGGCUCAUUUUUAUUUAUUCAAAAACGAUUCUGGUUUCUCCAAUGGCGACAUGCUUGCUCCACCUAUGUAGGAUCAAGGAAAACGUAUUUACCAAGAAAAGGUACCAACCAUGACGAAGCACAUUCUGCUAGGUUGUAUGAUAUAUAGCCAUUUCAGCAACAGGUUUUGGCGUAAUCGGACUGAAAGAAAGUGACAAAAGAGUAUACUUUGUUUAUUUAUCUAAAAUGAAUGACAAUUUAGGUAAAAACAAGGGAGAAAAAAAAAUUAACAGAAAAACAGCGGCUCACUCAGUACUUUCGUUAAUAAAGCAAUUAUACUCAUUUAUUUAUA